UACGUAGGGCGCAAGCGUUGUCCGGAAUUAUUGGGCGUAAAGAGCUCGUAGGCGGCUUGUCACGUCGGAUGUGAAAGCCCGGGGCUUAACUCCGGGUCUGCAUUCGAUACGGGCAGGCUAGAGUUCGGUAGGGGAGACUGGAAUUCCUGGUGUAGCGGUGAAAUGCGCAGAUAUCAGGAGGAACACCGGUGGCGAAGGCGGGUCUCUGGGCCGAUACUGACGCUGAGGAGCGAAAGCGUGGGGAGCGAACAGG
rnacentral:rRNA from 1 species